rnacentral:rRNA from 1 species
AGUGAACGCUGGCGGUAGGCCUAACACAUGCAAGUCGAACGGCAGCACAGUAAGAGCUUGCUCUUACGGGUGGCGAGUGGCGGACGGGUGAGGAAUACAUCGGAAUCUACUUUUUCGUGGGGGAUAACGUAGGGAAACUUACGCUAAUACCGCAUACGACCUACGGGUGAAAGCAGGGGAUCUUCGGACCUUGCGCGAUUGAAUGAGCCGAUGUCGGAUUAGCUAGUUGGCGGGGUAAAGGCCCACCAAGGCGACGAUCCGUAGCUGGACUGAGAGGAUGAUCAGCCACACUGGAACUUGGACACGGUCCCGACUCCUACGGGAGGCAGCCGUGGGGAAUAUUGGACCAUGGGCGCAAGCCUGAUCCAGCCAUACCGCGUGGGUGAAUAAGGCCUUCCGGUUGUAAAGCCCUUUUGUUGGGAAAGAAAAGCAGCAGGUUAAUACCCCGCUGUUCUGACGGUACCCAAAGAAUAAGCACCGGCUAACUUCGUG